rnacentral:rRNA from 1 species
UACGGGGGGAGCAAGCGUUGUUCGGAUUUACUGGGCGUAAAGGGCGCGUAGGCGGCCACCGCAAGUCAGUUGUGAAAUCUCCGAGCUUAACUCGGAAAGGUCAACUGAUACUGCGGGGCUAGAGUGCGGAAGGGGCAACUGGAAUUCUUGGUGUAGCGGUGAAAUGCGUAGAUAUCAAGAGGAACACCUGCGGCGAAGGCGGGUUGCUGGGCCGACACUGACGCUGAGGAGCGAAAGCGUGGGGAGCGAACAGG